UUGGUACUCCCUUCGUCCGGAAAUACUUGUCCUAGAAAUGGAUACAAUGGAUGUAUCUAUAACUAAAAUAAGUCUAGAUACAACCAUUUCGAGGACAAGUAUUUGCGGACGGAGGGAGUACUGU
rfam:Triticum aestivum genome assembly, contig: Triticum_aestivum_CS42_TGACv1_scaffold_623535_7DS